rnacentral:rRNA from 1 species
ACAAUAGACUACCCUGGUAGUCCACGCCCUAAACCGAUGCGAACUGGAUGUUGGGCACAUUACGGUGCUCAGUGUCGAAGCUAACGCGUUAAGUUCGCCGCCUGGGGAGUACGGUCGCAAGACUGAAACUCAAAGGAAUUGACGGGGGCCCGCACAAGCGGUGGAGUAUGUGGUUUAAUUCGAUGCAACGCGAAGAACCUUACCUGGCCUUGACAUCUGUCGAAUCCUGCAGAGAUGCGGGAGUGCCGCAAGGAACGACAAGACAGGUGCUGCAUGGCUGUCGUCAGCUCGUGUCGUGAGAUGUUGGGUUAAGUCCCGCAACGAGCGCAACCCUUGUCCCUAGUUGCCAGCACGUAAUGGUGGGAACUCUAGGGAGACUGCCGGUGACAAACCGGAGGAAGGUGGGGAUGACGUCAAGUCCUCAUGGCCCUUACGGCCAGGGCUACACACGUACUACAAUGGUCGGUACAGAGGGUUGCGAAGCCGCGAGGCGGAGCCAAUCCCGAGAAAGCCGAUCCCGAGUCCGGAUUGG